CCUCAGAGCCCACGCUUUCGUCAAAGACUCAAAACACGUUCGCCGUUAAAAAACCAAAAAACGUGGGGACUUCAUUCCUGUGGUUGUAACUUGUGACUCUCUCCUUCCAACUUUAAUACGUAAUCUCCACCGCACGUUCACCCACUCGCUCACAGCUCCCGACCACAGUUCAUGGCCGGCACGAGCGCCUCCUCCUUCACUCCGCACGUAAUCGGAUCCACCGUUUUCGAACUUUCCAGAAUUAACCGCACCGCAGCUCCGUUUUUGGUCCGGAUCUCUGCCAAGGCCAAUGGAUCCCCCACCUGCAAAGACGCCCUUGCCGAGGGUCCCUCUUGCAUAUUCGUUGGCCCUAUCGAGACCGCCAGCCAAGAAACCCUAGAAGCUCUUUAUUGUCAAGCACGGGACGCGUAUUACAGCGGUGAACCUUUGAUAGUUGAUGACAUGUUUGAUAGAGUAGAGUUAAAGCUACGGUGGUAUCGUUCGAAAUCCAUUAUCAAGUACCCUCGUUGUAGUCUUAGGCGGCAAUCAACCUAUGCAGAUGCAGAGGAAGAUCUAUCACAGGGUUUUGCAUUAGCGAGCAUAUGGAUCCUGUUUCUUGUAUUUGGCAGUUCAGCAUGUAUGGUGCCUAUGAUAUAUACAGUUGGCCUAGCUUAUCAAGAAGCAUACAGUUCAGGAUCGUUUUACAGCAGUCAAGCACCUGUCUUGGAGUUUCUUGCCACUUUGAAUGGCAUUCUUUUUAUGGCAUUGGGUUCUGUGAUUGGCUACCCAAUUGCAUCAGCUUCAGUUAAAGUGCUACAAGGCCUUUGGAGGAAUGACUUGGUAGCACUUAAAGGGGCAUGCCCAAAUUGUGGGGAGGAGGUCAGUCUAUCAUAUGUUGUAUUGUGCAAAGUUCCCUCAGGUGUUUGCAUUUGUGAGACCAGACCAAUGCAAUAAGAGUCCCCAUAGAGCUGAUUGUCAUGUUUGUGGUUGCUUGUUAGAAUUCCGCAUCAAGGUUGAGCAAUCAGCUUCAAGAUUUGGUAGAGGGUGGGUUUAUGGCCGCAUAUACCUGGUACGGAGACGCAGAAACCGGCAGAGUUGGCUCUAAGAUCUCUAACUGGUAGACUUGGUCUCCUAAGAAUUGUAUAAAUUAGCACCGAUCAUAACUCCUUUUCUAUUUUAGGGUGACAUGGUGGUGAUCAUUCUAACAAAAAUUCAUUUGCUUCUAGUCAAUAGCUAGAAUCUUUGUAUUUUAGAAUAAAUAAUGAGACGACUCCUACAUUUAAGUUGGAGUAAAAUAAUAUGGAUUCCCGCCUUAAACCAA